rnacentral:rRNA from 1 species
GACGAACGCUGGCGGCGUGCUUAAUACAUGCAAGUCGAGCGGUGAAAUCCGCUUGCGGGGGGUUCGGUGGCAAACGGGUGAGUAACACGUGGACAACCUGAACUCAGCUCUGGGAUAACUCUAACAAAUUGGGGCUAAUACUGGUUAUGACCACUAUCCGCAUGGUCUUGUGGUGGAAAGAUUUAUCGGCUUGGGAUGGGCCCGCAGACUAUGACCUUCUUCGUGAGGUAGUUGCUUACGAAGGCGCCGACGGGUAGCCGGCCUUGGAGGGGGACCGGCCACACGGGGACUAAGACACGCCCCAGACGCCAAUGUGAGGCAGCGGUCGGGAGUAUGACGGAAUGAGGGAAAGCCUGUCACAGCGACGCCGCGUGCGGGAUGACGGGCUUCGAGGGAUGAACCUCUUUCUGCAUAGACGAAGAGAUAGUGACGGUACCUGCAGAAGAAGCCCCGGCCAACUACGUG